CACGUAGGGCGCGAGCGUUGUCCGGAAUUAUUGGGCGUAAAGAGCUCGUAGGCGGCCUGUUGCGUCCGCUGUGAAAGCCCGGGGCUUAACCCCGGGUCGGCAGUGGAUACGGGCAGGCUAGAGGUAGGUAGGGGAGAAUGGAAUUCCCGGUGUAGCGGUGAAAUGCGCAGAUAUCGGGAGGAACACCAGUGGCGAAGGCGGCCUUCUGGCUCGCAACUGACGCUGUAGCGCGAAAGCGUGGGGAGCGAACGGG
rnacentral:rRNA from 1 species